GUGGGCCCCACAUGGGCAGUUGAUGGGCAUGGUGGGCUAGGUGGGCCAUGGGCUAGAGAUGGGCAAAUAUGUGGGCUGCAUGUGGGCCCCACAUGGGCUGCCCACAUAUUUUUUGGCAGGCAUAAUGCUUGAUAAUGAGAUUGCUUGCACAUGUACGAGGGCAUAUCCAGGAAUUUUGGUGAACACAGGCAUUCACGCGGUGUUCCUGUAUGGUGGGCUUAACAUGGGCACUGCGUGGGCAGCCCAUGUAGUGGGGUGUAGGUGGGCUGGAUGUGGGCAGCCCAUUAUUUAUUUUUUCACUGUCCAAUGUGUAUGAUAUUACAAGAAAAAAGAACUCGCUGUUUAGUCUCAUGCCUCCAAAAUACACUUCGACGUCGUGAGGAAGUCGCAUAGUUGAUGUUUGUGAGACCAGCUACGGCUGAUAUUGGACAGUCAAUGUUGUGAUUGUGUCGUAUGAUUGUGUCGCCUGAGCCCGCCCCUGCGCGGGCGACCCGCCGGCGGAGCUCGGCCCACCGGACGGGGCCUGGGGCCGCCUCUGCACCGCCCGGGGCGGUGACCGGCCGACCGGCUGGCGGGGCUGCGGCGUCUGGGCGGGCCAGUUGGCGUUGAGACUCUGAGUGGUGUGCGUGUCCAAUAAAGCCUUAAUUCGGGCGGAACCGACACAUGGCGCGGUCGGUAUUAGCUCGAACCCGCCCAUAGUGAGUACAAAGUGCGAUGAACGAAAGUGAAAGGAAGCAGGAAUGCGUAGCCGUGGCGGCCGCGCCGCAACCACGACCGCGUUCGAGUCUCUUCGGAGAGGCGCGCCCGCAGCGACGCCAGCUGUAUCGCUAAAGCCCUCCACGCCAGCCACCUGGGGAAGGAGAAGACAAAGGCCCGCGCAAGACAGAUCGUCUACUAGCCCGGGAUCUACCGGGAUGUGGAAAAUGUCACCCGCUGCUGUACCAGCUGCCAGAGAGAUCUACCCGCUCAGCAGCAAGAGACCAUGAUGAGGAGACCGCCAGCGGAAAGGCCGUUCGAACUACACAUCGACUUUGCCGAUCACGCCGGCAGGAAGUACCUCGUGGCAGUGGACAGAUACUCCGGGUGGCUGUUUGUCGCCGACCUCGGUGUAAGCGCCCCCGCUUACACCGGUCCGAAGGACGAUAGCAGGCGUCAUGACGAGCGCACUCGCUACGCGACUAAGCGUAAAUGGACGGCACGGGAAAAGGGCUUUCGGCGGUACCCGGCUUUUUGAUGUCGUGUUCAGAGCCGUGCGGCGGAACGGGCUUACCCAGGACACCAACAACGGCCAGCUGGAGGUGGCGCCACGAAAGUGGUUUACGGGUGCCAGGAACCGCGACGGAGGCCGCCAGGAGAGGAGACCAGCUGGAGUUUUAGCGGAGGAGCAGAUGAGAGAAGAAGUCUAGAGAUGAGCAGAAGAGAGCAGAGAGUUUAAACAGCAUUUUUGUGUUUAUCGAUAAUAUAAAUAUUGAUCACUG
rnacentral:lncRNA from 1 species